AUGAAAGUGAAAACCAGGCUAGAAAAUUUGCUUGCUCAUCAAGAAGUCACUAUGUACGCCGCGACACAUGCAACGGCGAAAACUGCUGUAGCCUACCUUGAAAGUGUUCCUAGACAAGGAGGUAAGAAGACGAUUGCGGUCAUUGUCACUGGUGGUGUUGACUUUCAUAAACGAUACGCCACUCAGAGUUACUCAGAAAUGAUUGCUAACUUGCCUCUGGAGCAAAUAAGGAGAAUUUCAGAGCAAAUGCAUGUAAUUUAUUGCCCUGUAUUGCAACAAUACAAUGCAGCUGAAAUCAACGCAAAAAUUUCCCUCAUAAAUGCGAGAAUAGAGGAAGAGUUACGUCCAAGUCCUAACAUUAGUAAAAUACCUGUUCCUCAGAAUAUCUGCUUCGAUUUUUUCUUUGAAAUUAAUGGAUGUCUUCCGAAUGAUCAUAGCAAGGACACACUCGUCAAUUUAAUUGCGAAUGAAAUACAUGCAGUUGCGACUAGAAGUUCUCCUGAAGUAACGGCAAGAGCAAGCUGUGAUGGUAACCAAAAAUCCGAGGGUUUCACGAAAAUCAGCACAAGAAUGAUACUUCUUGAGCCUUCAAAACCUCCGAAAAUCAGGGAAUCUUAUAAAUUUGGCCUGCGUAAUGUGCAAAGAGAUCGAAUUGCAAAGUUUACCAAAAAAUUUUGGGUGAAUGACCCCGAGUGUCUUCAACUUUUCACUACUUUCCACCCUUGGCGCGCGCGUUUUUGCAAACUUUUGCAUUCACAAAACAAGCUAAAGCACAAAUCUCCUAGGAGGCACCGCCUCCCGUGUGCAUUCCUACGUCGUAACGUCGUGCGUCGCACGUCGCAGCACCUUCAAUGUGCAUUUAAACAUCGUCAGUUAACACCCCAUGAUUUACUGAGCUGCCUAAUUAAAUUAAAACGUGACGCAUGUAUUGCGGAUUGCAUAAAGGUAAAAGCUCUCACAAAAUCAGUGAGUUUGCCUACAGGGAUAGAAUGUACUACAACUCCCACUUUACAGAUGAGUUCUGCUUCUGAUGAAAUAUUUGCCGAAAAAUUUAAUUACUUGCCUAAAUACGAAAAUUUAACUCUAAUUUUUGUAAUCUGCUGUGUGCUUACUUGCGCAGUAAUGACGGUUAAAGAAUGGCUAUCACAUCUCAAAAACCCAUUAGAACAAUAUUUCAAUGCAAGGGCAAAUGUAUUCCGCAUAUGUACUUUUGACGCAUAUGAACGUUUUCCCUCUCCUGUCUUUUUACCUGUGAAAAUACUUAAAGACCGGUUGACAGUGUUGAAAAAGCUUAUACGACAUAGAAAAUCCCAGCACCAUCAAGUACUUCGUAAAUGUAAAUUUAAAAGAGUUUCACCAAUUUCGAAAAAUGAUCAACCAGUCUCUGUUUCACCCCAGCACGUAUUACUGAAAAGAUAUAAUAAGCAAAAACGAAACUUUGUUCCUUGUCAACCUUUCUCUAAAUCACGUAAAAAAAAAAAAAAAAAAAAAAAAAAAAAAAAAAAAUUGUUUCUAUUUACUUACACUCUCAUCUCUCACCGCCAGUUUAAGUCCACUUUUGCGCCGAACUUCCUCUUUCUUUCUAUAACUUCACUCUGCAUAAAACAAUCUACCUUGAGGCAUUUUCUUUAA
rnacentral:lncRNA from 1 species